GAUGAACGCUGGCUGCGUGCCUAAUACAUGCAAGUCGAGCGAACAGACGAGGAGCUUGCUCCUCUGACGUUAGCGGCGCACGGGUGAGUAACACGUGGAUAACCUACCUAUAAGACUGGGAUAACUUCGGGAAACCGGAGCUAAUACCGGAUAAUAUAUUGAACCGCAUGGUUCAAUAGUGAAAGACGGUUUGGCUGUCACUUAUAGAUGGAUCCGCGCCGCAUUAGCUAGUUGGUAAGGUAACGGCUUACCAAGGCAACGAUGCGUAGCCGACCUGAGAGGAUGAUCAGCCGCACUGGAACUGCGACACGCUCCAGACUCCUACGGGAGGCAGCAGUAGGGAAUCUUCCGCAAUGGGCGAGAGCCUGACGGAACAACGCCACGUGAGUGACGAAGAUCUUCGGGUCGUAAAACUCUGGUAUUGGGGAAGAACAAGUGUGUAAGUAAAUAUGCACGUCUUGACGGUACCUAAUCAGAAAGCCACGGCUAACUACGUG
rnacentral:rRNA from 1 species